rnacentral:ncRNA from 1 species
AUGAAGACUGCUGGAGAGAGGCAACCUAGAGUUGUCCGCCGAAGAUUUAAUUAUUUCAGGCAAAAGGACUGUAGUUGGAGG